rfam:Brassica napus, WGS project CCCW01000000 data, contig: 11964
GCCGAUGAGGAAAUCCAAUAUUGUGAGGUGCAGUGGAGCUGAGACCCUGUUUUUCAGGGAGAACCCCUUGGCAGAAACUGCAAUUUCUAUGAAGCUAGUGGACUAACUGAGGC